GCAAGUCGAGCGCGCCCUUCGGGGUGAGCGGCGGACGGGUGAGUAACGCGUGGGAAUAUGCCCUUCUCUGCGGAAUAGCCACUGGAAACGGUGAGUAAUACCGCAUACGCCCUUUGGGGGAAAGAUUUAUCGGGGAAGGAUCGGCCCGCGUUGGAUUAGGUAGUUGGUGGGGUAAUGGCCUACCAAGCCGACGAUCCAUAGCUGGUUUGAGAGGAUGAUC
rnacentral:rRNA from 1 species